GUGGAUAAGGUACCUCUGAAAUUUGUCACGAGUUUUGUAAUAAAUUACAGAUAUAGAUUAUGGAUUAAGAUCCUCCCAGCCAUUCACAAACUGAAUCACUGCACUACUUAAGCAUGGCAAUGACAUUUAAAACAGGUCGUUUUCACCUUUUGCGCCCAACGGCCUCAAAGCACUUGUUAUUCUCGGCCAUUAUCAAACGACCAAAACCCGUUUUGCUUCCUUCUUCUCGGUUCUUCCAUCGCCGAUCGAGACGCCUCGUUUUGACGCAAAGAUUCGCAGUGAAAGUCUGCGCGGUGAAAGUCGAGCAGAAGAAUGUCGUUGUGGAAUCAGGAGAGUGAGGGAAGGUUUCCGCGGUGCUCUUCGACAUGGACGGCAUGCUUUGCAACAACGAAGAGCCUUCUAGAAAAUCCGACGUCGAUUUGUUUGCCGAGAUGGGCGUCGAAGUCACCGUCGACGAUUUUGUGGCAUUUACGGGAACAGGUGAUGAAAAACCAUGGCAUCCCGCAAAUCCGCCUUCAGCGUUUCUCGCGUUUCCUCUCAUCCGAACAUAACUUGAUUUUCAAAUCGUCGCUCGCAUUCGCCUCUGAACAGUAUAAUCUGUUCAAGCAAACAUUGUGUAAAUCUCUUGUUGCAUAAAUUCACUUUUACAUCCCAAUGGCUUUGAUGAGGGAGAAAGGUCACGACGUGUGGAACGUGGCGUAUGGCAUAUGGCAUGUCUCCUGAAACUCUUUCAUCACUUACUACAUAAGAUAAAGGAGAGUUGUUGCAAAACAUGGUGAAGAAGACAAAGAAUCAAGUGUUGGGGUAUGAUGGAGGUGUAGUAAUGUUGGUGGAAAAAAGGGAUUGGAGAAGGGGAUUCAAGGGAGGUAGGUGAUCGUCGAUGUCGCGUUUGACUCAAAUUAAUAUUGCAGAUUAAAUGCAGUAAUUAGGGAAUGACUCUUAGGUCAUCUCUUAAGGAUCAGUUUUUGAUUCUAUCAUAAGAUCAAACAUCUAGUGGGAGGGUUUGUGUGAGCAUAUUUACGAACUAAAUUAACACACCAAUUAACUUGGACUAAACCGCAAUUAAAAAAAGUUGGUCACUAGUUCGAUUGCAAUGUUUCUUAUUAUUGAUUAACAAAAAAUUGCAUGCUCCUCUCACCCUUAAUCCAACACGAACCAACUAAGCGAAGGUUAAUCCAAUCUUCAAGAAUGUGAAUUAAGCAAACACAAAUCAUAUGUCUAAUCAAUUUUUCACACAGAGAUUAAUCAAUUAAGCAGAGAUUAAACACGAAUUAGGCAACUAAGUGUGUACCUAAUUUCAAGCACAAAGAAGAUUAAGCAUUAUGUAAGGUAUGUGAAGCAUAAUCACAAUGACAGCUCAGAAAUCUCAAGGAAAAUAAUGCAAUCUCCUAGUGUCCAACCACACAGAUUAAGCCUUCCAUAAAAACAACUUGAACACAAUGAAAACGAAUUACAACCAUAACAACAGAGGCAAGAAUGAAAUUGAAAACUGAAAUUGGAAUGCAAAAAUGCAACUAAAAACAAAGUAAUACUGGAAAACGAAGCUAACACAACAAAUGAAUUACAUAGAAGAAACGAAAACGAAAUAAGAAUGCGAAGUGAAAUUGAAAACAGAGAACAAAAUUGGAAACAGAACUGGAAAUGAAAUUGUAAUGCGAAAAUGAAAAUGGAAAUGAAAUGCCGAAACAAAGAAACGAAAUGAACCCAGAAAGUGAAAUUUCUAUCAAACUUGAAAACGAGAAUGGAAAUGAAAGUGCACAAAAGGCAAGGAGAGAAAAACGAAAGUGCAGAACCAAAAUUAAAUGGUUGAAAUUGAAGGUGUUGGAAAACGUAAAUGAAACCUAAGAGAAGAAGCUAAAAAAACGAAAAAUACAACGAAUGAAAGUUCCUAAGGAGUGGUUGCUGCAUGGGCACUAAACCCUAGGCUAGCCAAGUCAGCCCCCAAAAUUGGUUUUUUUAUCUAAUUCACCAAAAAUAGCCCAAUAUUCAAUUCUUGACCCAAAAUUAAAAUAAAUAAAAUUACAAACGAAAUUAAAAAUAAAUGUUGAUCUGGAAAAUAAUAAAUGAUGUGGCAGCCCUUUUGAAGUCCGAAUUAUAAUUCCAAAAUUUGCCCUGAAAAUAUUAUUGAGAAUUAUUAAGCUCAAAUAAUUCAAAUUAAUUAAAAUAUGAAUUAUUGGUCAAAUUAGGCCCAAAUAGCAAAAUUGAGAAAAUAAUGGAAAGUUAAGCACAAGGUGAGGGUGGAGUUGUGACACAAGGUUGAUUCAAGGGUAGAACGGGUACCUUUUAAAUUAGGAGGUACAUGAAUAAAAUAAUGAGAUGCAAGAAGUAGUAGUCACAUACCAAAUCACUCAUUUCCCACCUUCCAUGAUAAAGACCUAUUUUUAAAAUUAAUAUAUAUGGUGUUAUGGUUGUUGAUAGGGGAGCUAUACCCCCUCUCAUAUAUCUAUGUUUUUUUAUGAUGAACAAAAGAAUAUUUGUAUGGUUUCUUCCACAACAAAUGACAUAACAAUUCAUUUAUCCUUAUUGUGUUUGUGCUUGAGAUGCUUGAUAUAUGUAUUCAUUGUUUGUAAAUGAAUCAUAAUUUUAAAUAGAUUGAAUGAUGGAAGCAACUUCAGACUUUAUGUGAGAGCAGCCACGCACAGCAGAAUCAAGCAGUGGAAUGGAAGGAGGAAUGAAUUCGAUGGUGCACGCCAGGUGUUUGAUGAAAGGUUCAAUGGAGGUUUGGUGAGUGUGUGAGGUUUCUCAAGCUCACAAGGCCUUCCAAGAAGGAAGGAAGUUAUAGGAAGAAGUGCAGAAUAAGCACAAGAAAGAAUGAACUCUGAAGAUAAGCCUAGAGUAAUCUCAACAACAUUUCUUUAUCAUUUCAAAGGAGAGUGCCUCCCUUUUAUAGGUGAAGAGAGGACUCUAUAUCUGAUCUACAAGCUCUAAAGAAUGUCAAAAGAAGUGUCUUGAAGACACAAUCUAAGCUUGGGCUACAAGUCCAAUGCGAAACACAAUUAAAAUGUGUUUUUUUAAAAGCUGAAUUCUGGUGCAAAAUGGAUAAGUGCGAGCUGCUGGUGGCUGAGUGAUUCUGCAAUCCGGAAGCUAAUGGCUCCAAUGCGGAAAACACUUAUUUUCUUCUCUUCUUUGACUCCUUUGUUUCCUUUGGCUCACCAAGCUUCUUUGGUUGAUUGUCCAUGUCUUCAACCUUUAUUUAAGGCCUACAAAACAAUGCAAAUGUUAUUUAGCAAAGUCAAUCCAUCUAAGACUUAGAUAAGGAAAGAGCAUUUUGUUAAAAGUCUUUAUUCACCUCCCUUUCUUAGUCUUAGUCUAAGUUGAUACUUCUUUGGAUGUGAAGUCCCUAAAGGAGUUUCCAUCAUUGAACAUUACAUCUCUGGAAGAAAUAAUCGAUUAAGCGUUGUAUAUAAUCUGCUAGACUUUUCCAGAUAUCGUGAUAUGCUUAACAAGAGCAAACAACUGUGUAAUAAUCUAUUACAUCAGUUGUAUAAUCGAUUAAAACACGUUUACUAGUAGAAAAAUAUCGCAUAAUGUCGUUGUUUUUUGGCCUUUCACGUCGAAUUCGAGAUCGACGUCAUAUUAGGAGACGUUAAAUUGACGUCAAAUUUAAAAAAUUCGACGUUAAUCAAAUUGACAUCAAAUUUUGUUAAUAUUCGACGUUAAGCAAUUUUUUUGUUUUUUUAAUUAAUUGUAAUAUUUUUUUACAACUCUACGAGACCUGAAAAGCAGAAAAACAACAAAUUUCAGUUUUUGGUAUUUUAUAAAGCAUGGACUAUGAACGUGUAGUAUAGUAUCAAUAACAAACAACAAUAACAAACAACAAACAAGUUCAAUCAAAUAACAACAACAACAAACAAGUUCAACCAAAUAACAACAACAAACAAGUUCAACAAAAAACAACAAACAAGUUCAACUAAUAAGUUCUUCAAAAUGGAAACGAAAACGAAAACUAACUUUCAAAAGGUGAGUUCGUCAUAAUAAAGUGUUUCCACCAAUGAGAGAGAAAGCAAAAUGUGCCUAUGAAGGACAAGAACACGAAAAUAAUCGGUCAAAAAAAAUGAAAAUUAUACAUAAAGUAGUUAAUUCACAUGCACUUGUAUCAAAUGAAAGAAAGAUUACAUGUGAUGGUCGUCAAACUUCGUUCGAGAAAAGUUUAAGAAGAGAAGAGGGUCUCGCGCACUAAGAUAAAGUGAAUGAAUUUUCAAUCUCCUGCUCAAAUUAAAAAGGGGAAACUUUUGGCUGACAAAUAAUACGUCUAAGCUCCUGCAAAAUUCGACGUAUUAUAUGUGGUUUAAAAGAAAAAAGAAAAAAAGAAUUAAAAAGGGGUAACUUUUUGGCUUCUGGCUGACAAAUAAUACGUCGAAGCCUUUACAAAAUUCGACGUAUUAUUUGUUGUUUAAAAGAAAAAAGAAAAAAAAAUUAAAAAGGGUGACUCUUUGGCUUCUGACUGACAAAUAUUACGUCGAACCCCUACAAGAUUCGACGUGUUAUUAGUGGUUUAAAAGAAAGAAGAAAGAGAAUGACGCACUGGUUUAAAUAAUUACCAUCAUAAAACGUCGAAUUGAAUAAGGCUUCGACCUUCUACAAUUGCAUUUAUUUACAAAAAUGUCAACGAUCAUUUUUAACAUUGGCUAUUCAGUGGUUGAACGUUGAACGCGUGACGUUAUACGCUGUUUUUGCACUAGUGGUUACAUACAUUUCAUAAUUGGUUAAAUAUGUUUCUCUUGUGAAAAUCUAUUUCAUUUAAAGCCUUAACUCUUUCUAACGGUCAUAUGAAUUUAUUGUUGGCUUGUAUGAAUGGUAUAAUCGAUAUCAUGCGCUGUAUAAUCUAUUAAAUCUUAAAUAGAAGGAAAUAUGUUAAAGCAGGAAGAAAAGCUUAACAGAUUACAUUAAUUGCAUAAUCGAUUAAAGUGCAUCAGGAUUCAAAAAUCCUAUAAAUAAUUGUCUUGCGCGUUGUUUCAAUGUAAUCUUUUGUACAUUUUGAUUGAUUAUUGAUUGUAGGAGCGUUUAAGAACAGUCUUGAAGAAUCAAAGAUCAAAUUUGGGUUUACACAUCAAGAUUCCUUCAAGAAAACUAAGCUGAAGUGUUUUGAUCAUAUCUACACUACUAGAGUGUUGUUGUGAAUAUCAGUAUCAUCAUUUGAAAUUUAUGGAUUGUGUUCCUGUGCAGGUUUGGUAGGGGGAGAGAGUCGUGGUGUUCUCAUUGAGAGUUGGGAUUGCUCUCAAGGUGUUUAGAGAGUUGUGAGUGUUCUCUGGUUGAUAAUUGUGAGGGUGUUCAUAUCUUGUUACUAUAGUGAUUUUGAGUGGGGUGAGAAGUACAUUGAGAGGAGAUAUCUCUAUAUUUUUGUAUCUCUAUCAUUAUAGUGGAAUCCCUUCAACUCAGGUUGAUUGAAAGAAGACUGGAUGUAGGCUUGGUCGAACUAAUAUAUAUCGUUGUGUUGAUCUUUCUCUCAUUUUCUUUUACUUUUGAUUCAUUAUACUUGCUUUAUUGAUUUCAAGAAAACUAAAUAUUUUGCAAAGUUUUUGAAAAGAACAUCUUUUAAAGCAAAAUUCAAUUCACCCCCCUCUUGGCCUGAGAUAUAAGGCAUCACUUUUCUAACAAUUGACCCCAGAGCUAGGAAUUCGAAAGUUACUCAAAUUUUAAUCAGUUAGGUUUUUUGUAUAAUCGAUUAAAAAGUUCCUGAUGGCCAACAUAUCUCAGACUUUUGGAGAAGGGGCAUCCACAAACAAACCAACACUGUUUGCGGGUGAGAACUACCUUUUUGUGAUAGAAUAAAGAUUUUCUUGGAAUCAGUAAACAAAGGUGUAUGAGAUGUUGUUAUAAAUGGUCCCUUUGAACCAACAAAAAGGGAGAAUGGUAAGAUUAAGGUCAAGGACUUUUCUGUCUGGACCAUAGACGAGAGCAGGAGAGCGCACUACGAUGUAAGGCCAAGAAUAUUAUCUCCUCAACACUCACAAUCGUGAGUAGAUGAUCUUGUAGAUGGUGCUGAGGUAUGAUAGAUUCGAGAGAUGACAAGGGACAAACUUAAGAUUUUUAUUUAAAUUUAUUACAUUUGAACUUUAAGAC